rnacentral:rRNA from 1 species
AUGCAGAAACGGAACCUCUACCUCCGGUCCUCGCCCAGCCGCCGGGGAGCAGCGCGCCGGUGUUCGACCUGUCCUCCUCGUCGACCUACGGCCUCGUGGCCUGCCGGCUACCCUCGUGCCAGGCGAUCUACGGCACGUCCUGCGACGCCAACCAAUUCUGUCAGUACCAGUCCUCCUACGGCGACGGCUCCACCACGUCCGGCAUCCUCUCCACCGAGACCUUCUACUUCGACGACGCUCCCGGCGGCUGUCUUGGAUGCCGCGAGCGUCCGCAGCUGCAUCUGUCCAGGGUCAACUUCGGCUGCGCCACGAAAGCGACCGGCAACACGUUCCAGCUGGCCGGCUACGUCGGCCUUGGCGCCGGGAACGGCUCCCUCGUGA